AUACGUAGGUGGCAAGCGUUAUCCGGAUUUACUGGGCGUAAAGGGUGCGUAGGUGGUUUCUUAAGUCAGGAGUGAAAGGCUACGGCUCAACCGUAGUAAGCUCUUGAAACUGGGAAACUUGAGUGCAGGAGAGGAAAGUGGAAUUCCUAGUGUAGCGGUGAAAUGCGUAGAUAUUAGGAGGAACACCAGUAGCGAAGGCGGCUUUCUGGACUGUAACUGACACUGAGGCACGAAAGCGUGGGGAGCAAACAGGAUUAGAUACCCUGGUAGUCCACGCCGUAAACGAUGAGUACUAGGUGUCGGGGGUUACCCCCCUCGGUGCCGCAGCUAACGCAUUAAGUACUCCGCCUGGGGAGUACGGUGGCAACACUGAAACUCAAAUGAAUUGACGGGG
rnacentral:rRNA from 1 species